UCCCCAGGUAUGCCAGUCUC
rnacentral:misc_RNA from 1 species